rnacentral:rRNA from 1 species
UACAGGGGGUGCAAACGUUGCUCGGAAUUAUUGGGCGUAAAGGGCGCGUAGGCGGUGUGGCAAGUCAGGUGUGAAACCUCCAGGCUCAACUUGGAGCUUGCAUCUGAAACUGCCGUGCUAGAGUGUGGGAGAGGAGAGUGGAAUUCCUGGUGUAGCGGUGAAAUGCGUAGAUAUGGGGUGGAACACCGGUGGCGAAGGCGGCCAUCUGGACGGUAACUGACGCUGAGACGCGAAAGCGUGGGGAGCAAACAGG